rnacentral:misc_RNA from 1 species
AACAUCGCGCACCUGCGGGAACCUGCGGAAGGAUCAUUACUGAGUCACGUGCUCAAACAACCCUUCUGUGGACCUGAAAUAAAACCGUUGCCUCGGCGGGCGGUCCCCCCCAAACCAACCCCACGUGGUGGGUUAGGGGAGACCAGACAGUCCGGUACGCUUAAGGCGUCCGGCGCCAGCCGCUGGCCCCAAACAAUUAAACUCUAGUAAUCUUUACCCUCUGAGUUUCAAUAUUUAAAA